GGGGGGGGGGGGGGGGGGGGGGGGGGGUGGGGGGGGAAGGGGGGGGGCCAGGCUGGCUUGGGUCGUCGGGGGGCGAGCGGGGGGGUAGCGCGGGGGGGAGCUGCCCUGCACUUCGGGGUAGGCCUGGGAAACUGGGUCUAUUCCCGGGUGGGGCCCCAUUUGGGCGGGGGGGGUGGAAGGUUUUUCGGUUUGGGGGGAGCUCUCGGCCUAUCAGCUUGUUGGUGGGGUAAUGGACUACCAAGGCGUCGACGGGUAGCCGGCCUGAGAGGGUGUACGGCCACAUUGGGACUGAGAUACGGCCCAGACUCCUACGGGAGGCAGCAGUGGGGAAUAUUGCACAAUGGGCGCAAGCCUGAUGCAGCGACGCCGCGUGGGGGAUGACGGCCUUCGGGUUGUAAACUCCUUUCGCUAGGGACGAAGCGUUAUGUGACGGUACCUGGAGAAGAAGCACCGGCUAACUACGUG
rnacentral:rRNA from 1 species